GAGGCGAUGAAGGGCGUGCUAAUCUGCGAUAAGCGCCGGUAAGGUGAUAUGAACCGUUAUAACCGGCGAUACCCGAAUGGGGAAACCCAGUGUGAUUCGUCACACUAUCAUUAACUGAAUCCAUAGGUUAAUGAGGCGAACCGGGGGAACUGAAACAUCUAAGUACCCCGAGGAAAAGAAAUCAACCGAGAUUCCCCCAGUAGCGGCGAGCGAACGGGGAGGAGCCCAGAGCCUGAAUCAGCAUGUGUGUUAGUGGAAGCGUCUGGAAAGGCGCGCGAUACAGGGUGACAGCCCCGUACACAAAAGCGCAUGUGCUGUGAGCUCGAUGAGUAGGGCGGGACACGUGGUAUCCUGUCUGAAUAUGGGGGGACCAUCCUCCAAGGCUAAAUACUCCUGACUGACCGAUAGUGAACCAGUACCGUGAGGGAAAGGCGAAAAGAACCCCGGCGAGGGGAGUGAAAAAGAACCUGAAACCGUGU
rnacentral:rRNA from 1 species